GAAAGCUCCGGCGGAUAGAGAUGGGCACGCGCAAGAUUAGCUAGUUGGUGAGGUAACGGCUCACCAAGGCAAUGAUCUUUAGGGGGCCUGAGAGGGUGAUCCCCCACACUGGUACUGAGACACGGACCAGACUCCUACGGGAGGCAGCAGUGAGGAAUAUUGGUCAAUGGGGUGCAAGCCUGAACCAGCCAUCCCGCGUGAAGGACGACUGCCCUAUGGGUUGUAAACUUCUUUUGUAUAGGGAUAAACCUUUCCACGUGUGGAAAGCUGAAGGUACUAUACGAAUAAGCACCGGCUAACUCCGUG
rnacentral:rRNA from 1 species